rnacentral:rRNA from 1 species
AGUGGCGAACGGGUGAGUAAUAUAUCGGAACGUACCUUGUAAUGGGGGAUAACUAGUCGAAAGAUUAGCUAAUACCGCAUACGCCCUGAGGGGGAAAGUAGGGGAUCUUCGGACCUUACGUUAUAAGAGCGGCCGAUAUCUGAUUAGCUAGUUGGUGGGGUAAUGGCCUACCAAGGCGACGAUCAGUAGCUGGUCUGAGAGGACGACCAGCCACACUGGAACUGAGACACGGUCCAGACUCCUACGGGAGGCAGCAGUGGGGAAUUUUGGACAAUGGGCGAUAGCCUGAUCCAGCCAUUCCGCGUGAGUGAAGAAGGCCUUCGGGUUGUAAAGCUCUUUCGCAAGGGAAGAAAACUUACAUUCUAAUAAAGUGUGAGGCAGACGGUACCUUGAUAAGAAGCACCGGCUAACUACGUGCCGGCAGCCGCGGUAAUACGUAGGGUGCGAGCGUUAAUCGGAAUUACUGGGCGUAAAGCGUGCGCAGGCGGUUUUGUAAGUCAGAUGUGAAAUCCCCGAGCUCAACUUGGGAACUGCGUUUGAAACUACAAGACUAGAAUAUGUCAGAGGGGGGUAGAAUUCCACGUGUAGCAGUGAAAUGCGUAGAGAUGUGGAGGAAUACCAAUGGCGAAGGCAGCCCCCUGGGAUAAUAUUGACGCUCAUGCACGAAAGCGUGGGGAGCAAACAGGAUUAGAUACCCUGG